AAUGGGCGAAACCCUGACGGAGCAAUACCGCGUGAGGGAGGAAGGCUCUUGGGUUGUAACCCUCUUUUCUCAGGGAAGAAGAAAUGACGGUACCUGAGGAAUAAGCAUCGGCUAACUCCGUGCCAGCAGCCGCGGUAAUACGGAGGAUGCAAGCGUUAUCCGGAAUGAUUGGGCGUAAAGCGUCCGUAGGUGGUGAUUCAAGUCUAUUGUCAAAGCGUCUGGCUCAACCAGAUAAAGGCAGUGGAAACUGAAAGA
rnacentral:rRNA from 1 species